UGGGGAAUUUUGGACAAUGGGGGCAACCCUGAUCCAGCAAUGCCGCGUGUGUGAAGAAGGCCUUCGGGUUGUAAAGCACUUUUGUCCGGAAAGAAAACGUCGUGGUUAAUACCCGUGGCGGCUGACGGUACCGGAAGAAUAAGCACCGGCUAACUACGUGCCAGCAGCCGCGGUAAUACGUAGGGUGCAAGCGUUAAUCGGAAUUACUGGGCGUAAAGCGUGCGCAGGCGGUCCGCUAAGACAGAUGUGAAAUCCCCGGGCUUAACCUGGGAACUGCAUUUGUGACUGGCGGGCUAGAGUAUGGCAGAGGGGGGUAGAAUUCCACGUGUAGCAGUGAAAUGCGUAGAGAUGUGGAGGAAUACCGAUGGCGAAGGCAGCCCCCUGGGCCAAUACUGACGCUCAUGCACGAAAGCGUGGGGGAGCAAACAGGAUUAGAUACCCUGGUAGUCCACGCCCUAAACGAUGUCAACUAGUUGUUGGGGAUUCAUUUCCUUAGUAACGUAGCUAACGCGUGAAGUUGACCGCCUGGGGAGUACGGUCGCAAGA
rnacentral:rRNA from 1 species